rnacentral:lncRNA from 1 species
CAAUGACUAACAUUCAAGUCAGGUGGGAUCCUCUGGUAUCUUAAGCCUGAACAGAGUUAUAAAGACAACUACUGUGUAGUAAACUGUACAAAACACAGUUCUAAAACUGAAGCAGAGAAAAGAAGUUGAUGGGGUAAAAAAUAAUGGGGGCAGCAUGGAUUUUAUUUUUCUUUGAAGCUAACUUCUGCUUAUGAGAGGAAAUCUUGGAGCCAUUGUUCUGGAUGUGUUUUACUCCGAGUGACACCAGGUUCUGGCUGGGAAUUCCCUCCCUGCUGAGCUGGGAAAAGGCAACAGAUGGUGGAGCAGGAACCACACAUCCUUGCUGUGUUCAUCAGGGUUUAUUCAAUACUUUGGGUAUGUAAUUCUUCAUUUACAUAGUACACAGUUCUAAAAU